AUGCCUCCGCUCCCUCUUGACGAGCGCAUAGUGGUUAUUCAGCGCCCCAAAAGUUUGGCCUUGCGCGUGGCCUCCCCACCAACCACAUCACAAUCUUCCUCACACCGCCCAGCCACUCACAACGAGCCUCCACCCCACUUACCACAACACUCAUUACCCUGUUCCCAUCCAGGUUCCAAGUACUUGUCUCUGGAAUGCAAGCGCAGGCAAUCAUCCCAUGUUCAAAGAGAUAAAGGAGAACGAGGUGCUCCCUUUGAGGGCAGCGGCCACAAUGCUAGCCAUUGUCACAGCAAUGGGACAGUAACUUUAGGUCCCAGACCUCACAAGCACACGCAUACCAUUGACAUUAAAGUGUCUUUGGACAAAGGUGGAAGAGGAGGAUCUUACAUAGACAAAGGCCGCAGUAGUAGUCUUACCCGAAGUGGAAGCAUCAAGGGGAACAGAACUAAACGGGUGUCCCUGCACUUGGAUCCAGGGCAAGGUGAAAGGAAAUGCAAAGGAAAGUCUUCCGAAUCAGUGGAGAAGCACCAGAACCAUCAUCAGAGUCAAAACAGGACUCAGCACAGUAGCCAUCAUCCAAACCAACUUACAGUCUCUCCUGGAGGGAUCUUGGAAUUUGUACCAGCGCAAAGACAACAGUCAAAAUCCAAGCCAACAAGAGAGAGAGACUUGUCAUCAAAGUCUUGCUCUGCAACUACCAGCUACCCAUUGCACAGUGAGAGGAACGUAUCAUCUGUAGGAAAUAAAGAAAACUCCAAACUGGGACCUGGCCACCAACUGCCACAUGCCCACAGCCUAUCCCAUCACCACAGUUCAGCCCCAUUACCCCAUGCUGCCAUCCUAAACCCUCACUACCCUGCUGUACCACCCUCACUCCCUUCCCGAGCCCCUUCCUCCUACCAGCACAGUCAACCCCGUCCCUCACACACUAGAGAACAUCGGCCCCAAAUUCUUCACGCAUUGCCCCUCUCCCCUACUUCCUCCCAAGGAGGCUUCCCCAGUCCUGACCACACAUGUACAAUUGACUUUUCCCAUCCCUGUGGCUGUUGGAGGUUGGUGCGUUGUAGAAGAGGUAGAGGUCACUCGGCUGGCUGCCACGGUCAUAGUGCAAGCCCAUCCUCUUCAUUUUCUCACACCCAAGGAACAAGUGCUGCCAACAGAGGUGGCGGAACCAUGGGAUUGAAGACUUUAGGAGGGUGUCUGUCAACUGCUUCCACCACCAACACCUCCUCUUCCAACAGCACUGUCUCAGACUGUCGCACAGGGCUGCUCAGACCUUUGGGUUGUGCAUCCUGUUCUGGAGAAGCUGGAGGUUUUGAGAGCCCUGCUGCUUUCCGUAAGAAACUGGUUGGGGGUUGUUUACCCUGUACCACCCUCACUCCCUUCCCGAGCCCCUUCCUCCUACCAGCACAGUCAACCCCGUCCCUCACACACUAG
rnacentral:lncRNA from 1 species